rnacentral:lncRNA from 1 species
AGAGAGAGAGAGAGAGAGAGAGAGAGAGAGCCCGGCGGAAGGUGGCAGCCACCCUCUCUCGUCGCGGCGAAAAAACAGAGGGGGGGGGGCAACCUACUAACCUACGCUAUGGCCGGUCAGGCUGCCGCGAGGAUGGCGCGGGACCAUCGCCGGCAAUCCAGUAACCUUGUCACACGGGUGCUUCGUCUGCCCUGUCCUCGCCGUGUGCCCUGCAUGUAUAUUUAUUUCCACGGUUUCCUCGCUCGCUCUAGCUUGGUGGCCGUCGGGCGUGCGUUCAGUUCAUCAUAUUCUCUUCACCUCGUGCGAGAGAAGAUGGGGCACCGCGCGCUAGUUUAAGGACCCGUCGCCGAAGUAGUUCAGAGACGUCUGGCGAUGGCGACGGAGAACGGGAGGUUUCUCUGAAUUCGGAUGAUGCUCUCCUCCUCCCACGCGCCCCUCGAUUUGGCUGAAACAACGGCGAGUACACAAGCGACAGAAAUAAAGAAGAAUGGAGCAGAUAAUUUAUCUCUGUAGAUGUAACCAGAGAUCAUAAGUAACCUCUUUCUAGGUACCACCGGGAGGAGCAAAUAACCAACGGUUCUGUUUUAAUGUGUGUGAGAAGGAGCCGCCGAGGUCUGGUGCAUGGAUGGGAGAGGGAAAUCGCACCAACUCUGAUUAGAUCUCAUGAAAGAAACCCGCAUUACCCACACUCACGCCGAACGAGAUUACAGCCAUGCCUCUAACAUAAGAAAAAUGACAAUAGAUGAGAGCACAAUAUGUUUUUGAUUAUUCAACUGGUUGAGCCCACAUGAGAUAUUUAAUCGUAGCUCAACAAUCUCUACUCUGGUGAACUUUUUAGCCACCGUUGAGAACUUAACCUUGAUGUUCCCUAUUGUACUUUGUCUUAGAAUUUUCUCAACCU